CUGCAGCCAAUUAAGCUAAAUGUGUUCUUUUCCUUAUGGGGAUCCAGGAUGCAGUGGCAGCAAACAGCAGCCUCCUUGGUUGUGUAUGCAGCCUGUUGCCUGCAUGGGUUGCUCUUGGGGACCCUGGAGACAGCU
ensembl:snoRNA SNORA70 Small nucleolar RNA SNORA70